CUACGUGCCAGCAGCCGCGGUAAUACGUAGGUGGCAAGCGUUGUCCGGAAUUAUUGGGCGUAAAGCGCGCGCAGGCGGAUUGGUCAGUCUGUCUUAAAAGUUCGGGGCUUAACCCCGUGAUGGGAUGGAAACUGCCAAUCUAGAGUAUCGGAGAGGAAAGUGGAAUUCCUAGUGUAGCGGUGAAAUGCGUAGAUAUUAGGAAGAACACCAGUGGCGAAAGCGGCUCUCUGGUCUGUAACUGACGCUGAGGCUCGAAAGCGUGGGGAGCGAACAGGAUUAGAUACCCUGGUAGUCCACGCCGUAAACGAUGAGUGCUAGGUGUUGGAUCCUUUCCGGGAUUCAGUGCCGCAGCUAACGCAUUAAGCACUCCGCCUGGGGAGUACGACCGCAAGGUUGAAACUCAAAGGAAUUGACGGGGGCCCGCACAAGCGGUGGAGCAUGUGGUUUAAUUCGAAGCAACGCGAAGAACCUUACCAGGUCUUGACAUCCCGAUGCUAUUUCUAGAGAUAGAAA
rnacentral:rRNA from 1 species